AUUCCAUGAUGGGGACAUUCUAGGAUGUAGUCUUGAAAGCGCUCCCAUGCUUCUGGAACACAUUCAUCAUUUUGUUGCUGAAAACUUGUAAUCUUCCCACGGAGAGC
rfam:Sorghum bicolor cultivar BTx623 chromosome 5, whole genome shotgun sequence.